CAAGUCGAGCGAAUCGAUGGGAGCUUGCUCCCUGAGAUUAGCGGCGGACGGGUGAGUAACACGUGGGUAACCUGCCUGUAAGAUUGGGAUAACUCCGGGAAACCGGGGCUAAUACCGGAUAAUACUUUUAACCGCAUGGUUGAAAGUUGAAAGAUGGUUUCGGCUAUCACUUACAGAUGGACCCGCGGCGCAUUAGCUAGUUGGUGAGGUAACGGCUCACCAAGGCAACGAUGCGUAGCCGACCUGAGAGGGUGAUCGGCCACACUGGGACUGAGACACGGCCCAGACUCCUACGGGAGGCAGCAGUAGGGAAUCUUCCGCAAUGGACGAAAGUCUGACGGAGCAACGCCGCGUGAACGAUGAAGGUCUUCGGAUCGUAAAGUUCUGUUGUUAGGGAAGAACAAGUACCAGAGUAACUGCUGGUACCUUGACGGUACCUAACCAGAAAGCCACGGCUAACUACGUGCCAGCAGCCGCGGUAAUACGUAGGUGGCAAGCGUUGUCCGGAAUUAUUGGGCGUAAAGCGCGCGCAGGUGGUUUCUUAAGUCUGAUGUGAAAGCCCACGGCUCAACCGUGGAGGGUCAUUGGAAACUGGGGAACUUGAGUGCAGAAGAGGAAAGUGGAAUUCCACGUGUAGCGGUGAAAUGCGUAGAGAUGUGGAGGAACACCAGUGGCGAAGGCGACUUUCUGGUCUGUAACUGACACUGAGGCGCGAAAGCGUGGGGAGCGAACAGGAUUAGAUACCCUGGUAGUCCACGCCGUAAACGAUGAGUGCUAAGUGUUAGAGGGUUUCCGCCCUUUAGUGCUGCAGCUAACGCAUUAAGCACUCCGCCUGGGGAGUACGGCCGCCAGACUGAAACUCAAAGGAAUU
rnacentral:rRNA from 1 species